CCAUCCUCCAAGGCUAAAUACUCCUGACUGACCGAUAGUGAACCAGUACCGUGAGGGAAAGGCGAAAAGAACCCCGGCGAGGGGAGUGAAAAAGAACCUGAAACCGUGUACGUACAAGCAGUGGGAGCACGCUUAGGCGUGUGACUGCGUACCUUUUGUAUAAUGGGUCAGCGACUUAUAUUCUGUAGCAAGGUUAACCGAAUAGGGGAGCCGAAGGGAAACCGAGUCUUAACUGGGCGUUAAGUUGCAGGGUAUAGACCCGAAACCCGGUGAUCUAGCCAUGGGCAGGUUGAAGGUUGGGUAACACUAACUGGAGGACCGAACCGACUAAUGUUGAAAAAUUAGCGGAUGACUUGUGGCUGGGGGUGAAAGGCCAAUCAAACCGGGAGAUAGCUGGUUCUCCCCGAAAGCUAUUUAGGUAGCGCCUCGUGAAUUCAUCUCCGGGGGUAGAGCACUGUUUCGGCAAGGGGGUCAUCCCGACUUACCNNNNNNNNNNNNGCUUAUGCGUUGUUGGGUAGGGGAGCGUUCUGUAAGCCUGCGAAGGUGUGCUGUGAGGCAUGCUGGAGGUAUCAGAAGUGCGAAUGCUGACAUAAGUAACGAUAAAGCGGGUGAAAAGCCCGCUCGCCGGAAGACCAAGGGUUCCUGUCCAACGUUAAUCGGGGCAGGGUGAGUCGACCCCUAAGGCGAGGCCGAAAGGCGUAGUCGAUGGGAAACAGGUUAAUAUUCCUGUACUUGGUGUUACUGCGAAGGGGGGACGGAGAAGGCUAUGUUGGCCGGGCGACGGUUGUCCCGGUUUAAGCGUGUAGGCUGGUUUUCCAGGCAAAUCCGGAAAAUCAAGGCUGAGGCGUGAUGACGAGGCACUACGGUGCUGAAGCAACAAAUGCCCUGCUUCCAGGAAAAGCCUCUAAGCAUCAGGUAACAUCAAAUCGUACCCCAAACCGACACAGGUGGUCAGGUAGAGAAUACCAAGGCGCUUGAGAGAACUCGGGUGAAGGAACUAGGCAAAAUGGUGCCGUAACUUCGGGAGAAGGCACGCUGAUAUGUAGGUGAAGUCCCUUGCGGAUGGAGCUGAAAUCAGUCGAAGAUACCAGCUGGCUGCAACUGUUUAUUAAAAACACAGCACUGUGCAAACACGAAAGUGGACGUAUACGGUGUGACGCCUGCCCGGUGCCGGAAGGUUAAUUGAUGGGGUCAGCGCAAGCGAAGCUCUUGAUCGAAGCCCCGGUAAACGGCGGCCGUAACUAUAACGGUCCUAAGGUAGCGAAAUUCCUUGUCGGGUAAGUUCCGACCUGCACGAAUGGCGUAAUGAUGGCCAGGCUGUCUCCACCCGAGACUCAGUGAAAUUGAACUCGCUGUGAAGAUGCAGUGUACCCGCGGCAAGACGGAAAGACCCCGUGAACCUUUACUAUAGCUUGACACUGAACAUUGAGCCUUGAUGUGUAGGAUAGGUGGGAGGCUUUGAAGUGUGGACGCCAGUCUGCAUGGAGCCGGCCUUGAAAUACCACCCUUUAAUGUUUGAUGUUCUAACGUGGACCCGUGAUCCGGGUUGCGGACAGUGUCUGGUGGGUAGUUUGACUGGGGCGGUCUCCUCCUAAAGAGUAACGGAGGAGCACGAAGGUUGGCUAAUCCUGGUCGGACAUCAGGAGGUUAGUGCAAUGGCAUAAGCCAGCUUGACUGCGAGCGUGACGGCGCGAGCAGGUGCGAAAGCAGGUCAUAGUGAUCCGGUGGUUCUGAAUGGAAGGGCCAUCGCUCAACGGAUAAAAGGUACUCCGGGGAUAACAGGCUGAUACCGCCCAAGAGUUCAUAUCGACGGCGGUGUUUGGCACCUCGAUGUCGGCUCAUCACAUCCUGGGGCUGAAGUAGGUCCCAAGGGUAUGGCUGUUCGCCAUUUAAAGUGGUACGCGAGCUGGGUUUAGAACGUCGUGAGACAGUUCGGUCCCUAUCUGCCGUGGGCGCUGGAGAACUGAGGGGGGCUGCUCCUAGUACGAGAGGACCGGAGUGGACGCAUCACUGGUGUUCGGGUUGUCAUGCCAAUGGCACUGCCCGGUAGCUAAAUGCGGAAGAGAUAAGUGCUGAAAGCAUCUAAGCACGAAACUUGCCCCGAGAUGAGUUCUCCCUGACCCUUUAAGGGUCCUGAAGGAACGUUGAAGACGACGACGUUGAUAGGCCGGGUGUGUAAGCGCAGCGAUGCGUUGAGCUAACCGGUACUAAUGAACCGUGAGGCUUAACCUUACAACGCCGAAG
rnacentral:rRNA from 1 species